GGUUGGCUGACGAGUCCCAAAUAGGACGAAAUGCGCAUCAAGC
rnacentral:hammerhead_ribozyme from 1 species